rnacentral:rRNA from 1 species
UACGUAGGGUGCAAGCGUUGUCCGGAAUUAUUGGGCGUAAAGAGCUCGUAGGCGGUCUGUCACGUCGGAUGUGAAAAUCCAGGGCUUAACCCUGGACCUGCAUUCGAUACGGGCAGACUAGAGUUCGGUAGGGGAGACGUGGAAUUCCUGGUGUAGCGGUGAAAUGCGCAGAUAUCAGGAGGAACACCGGUGGCGAAGGCGGCUAUCUGGACAGAGUCUGACGCUGAGGCGCGAAAGCUAGGGGAGCAAACAGG